rnacentral:sRNA from 1 species
UUAUACAACCGUCAUACAAGUUAUAAUCACUCAAAAAGAAAAUGGCCUUCUUUGAACAUAAUUUCUACCAACUUCAGAUCUUCUAAUACUAUCUUCAGGGCAUGCCAAAAUCUGGGGUUACCUCUACUAGGUUAGGCAAUGUGGCCUCCUUGAGCGAUUUGGGAUUUUAGGAGCCCCUCUCAGCUUUGUCCCAGUGUGAUAGUGAUAUGCCAACUCCUUUCUUAAUUCAAUGUGGUUUCCUAAUCGCGGCUUUUAUGAUUUCAAUGCACUUUAUUUGUUAGUAUUUUUGCGCACCAUACCACAACCAUUGAAAUAUCAAAGAUCACAAUCAUCAAUUUGAAUUUUUGUUCAAAUAGCUACAUAGCAUUAUUUGGUUUUUUUUUGUUUUUCCUUUGGAAAGUUCAUCGUAACUCAUUUUUUUUUUCAACCCCAG